ACACCUGUAUUAACUGGUAUAUAGGUACGUAAUGCUGCUUCACCUGGACACACACCUGUAUUAACUGGUAUAUAGGUACGUAUGCUGUUUCACCUGGACACACACCUGUAUUAACUGGUAUAUAGGUACGUAUGUUGCUUCACCUGGACACACACCUGUAUUAACUGGUAUAUAGGUACGUAUGCUGCUUCACCUGGACACACACCUGUAUUAACUGGUAUAUAGGUACGUAUGCUGCUUCACCUGGACACACACCUGUAUUAACUGGUAUAUAGGUACGUAUGCUGCUUCACCUGGACACACACCUGUAUUAACUGGUAUAUAGGUACGUAUGCUGCUUCACCUGGACACACACCUGUAUUAACUGGUAUAUAGGUACGUAUGCUGCUUCACCUGGACACACACCUGUAUUAACUGGUAUAUAGGUACGUAUGCUGCUUCACCUGGACACACACCUGUAUUAACUGGUAUAUAGGUACGUAUGCUGCUUCACCUGGACACACACCUGUAUUAACUGGUAUAUAGGUACGUAUGUUGCUUCACCUGGACACACACCUGUAUUAACUGGUAUAUAGGUACGUAUGCUGUUUCACCUGGACACACACCUGUAUUAACUGGUAUAUAGGUACGUAUGCUGCUUCACCUGGACACACACCUGUAUUAACUGGUAUAUAGGUACGUAUGCUGCUUCACCUGGACACACACCUGUAUUAACUGGUAUAUAGGUACGUAAUGCUGCUUCACCUGGACACACACCUGUAUUAACUGGUAUAUAGGUACGUAUGCUGUUUCACCUGGACACACCUGUAUUAACUGGUAUAUAGGUACGUAUGCUGCUUCACCUGGACACACACCUGUAUUAACUGGUAUAUAGGUACGUAUGCUGCUUCACCUGGACACACACCUGUAUUAACUGGUAUAUACGGACGUGGUGUGAACGUUAAUCUG